CCUACGGGAGGCAGCAGUGAGGAAUAUUGGUCAAUGGUCGGGAGACUGAACCAGCCAAGCCGCGUGAGGGAGGAAGGUACAGAGUAUCGUAAACCUCUUUUGUCAGGGAACAAAGGCGGGGACGUGUCCCCGGAUGAGUGUACCUGAAGAAAAAGCAUCGGCUAACUCCGUGCCAGCAGCCGCGGUAAUACGGAGGAUGCGAGCGUUAUCCGGAUUUAUUGGGUUUAAAGGGUGCGCAGGCGGUCUGUUAAGUCAGCGGUCAAACCCCGGGGCUCAACCCCGGCCCGCCGUUGAAACUGGCAGUCUCGAGUUGGAGAGAAGUAUGCGGAAUGCGCGGUGGAGCGGUGAAAUGCAUAGAUAUCGCGCAGAACUCCGAUUGCGAAGGCAGCAUGCCGGCUCCACACUGACGCUGAGGCACGAAAGCGUGGGUAUCGAACAGGAUUAGAUACCCCAGUAGUU
rnacentral:rRNA from 1 species